rnacentral:rRNA from 1 species
AUGAAGAGAGACACGAACGGGCUAUUCAUGAUGGGAAAAGUUUUGAUGAGGUUAGUGCUGCCUCAUCAAUUUACAGAAUCUUACGUUUAUGGAUCCUAUGUUUUCUUUUUCUUGGUUAUAUCUUGGUUUCCUUUCCUGAAUAUGAAAUAUGUGGUUUGUGUACUUCUUAUAAACAGAGAUGUGUUGCUCCUUCUGCAUACUUCUAUUCCUUUUUUUUUCAAAAUUUGA